CCUACGGGGGGCAGCAGUGGGGAAUAUUGGACAAUGGGGGGAACCCUGAUCCAGCCAUGCCGCGUGUGUGAAGAAGGCCCUCGGGUUGUAAAGCACUUUCAGUGAGGAAGAACGCCUGGUGGUUAAUACCCAUCAGGAAAGACAUCACUCACAGAAGAAGCACCGGCUAACUCCGUGCCAGCAGCCGCGGUAAUACGGAGGGUGCGAGCGUUAAUCGGAAUUACUGGGCGUAAAGCGCGCGUAGGUGGCUUGAUAAGCCGGUUGUGAAAGCCCCGGGCUCAACCUGGGAACGGCAGCCGGAACUGUCAAGCUAGAGUGCAGGAGAGGAAGGUAGAAUUCCCGGUGUAGCGGUGAAAUGCGUAGAGAUCGGGAGGAAUACCAGUGGCGAAGGCGGCCUUCUGGACUGACACUGACACUGAGGUGCGAAAGCGUGGGUAGCAAACAGGAUUAGAUACCCGGGUAGUC
rnacentral:rRNA from 1 species